rnacentral:tRNA from 1 species
GCCUUGGUGGUGGAAUGGUAGACACAGUUGAUUCAAAAUCAACCGCUUUCCGGCGUAGAGGUUCAAAUCCUCUUCAGGGCA